UACGUAGGCAGCGAGCGUUGUUCGGAGUUACUGGGCGUAAAGGGUGUGUAGGCGGUCGUUUAAGUUUGGUGUGAAAUCUCCCGGCUCAACCGGGAGGGUGCGCCGAAUACUGAAUGACUUGGAGUGCGGGAGAGGUGAGUGGAAUUCCCGGUGUAGCGGUGAAAUGCGUAGAUAUCGGGAGGAACAUCAGUGGCGAAGGCGGCUACCUGGCCCAAUACUGACACUCAGGUGCGACAGCGUGGGGAGCAAACAGG
rnacentral:rRNA from 1 species